rnacentral:ncRNA from 1 species
UAAUGGUUGGGGCAAACUUUGCGAAAGCACAGGACGCUAAAGCUAUGGAUCUAAGGUCGACAGACUAGGAUCGCCAGGCUACAAGU